CCUACGUGAGGCAGCAGUGAGGAAUAUUGGUCAAUGGCCGUAAGGCUGAACCAGCCAAGUCGCGUGAAGGAAGACGGAUCUAUGGUUGUUAACCUUCGUUUAUAGGGGAAUAAAAUUAUCCACGUUUAGCUAUUUGCAUCUACCCUAUGAAUAAGCACCGGCUAACUCCGUGCUAGCUGCCGCGGUAAUACGGAGGGUGCACGCGUUAUCCGGAUUUCUUGGGUUUAAAGGGUUCGUAGGUUGUUUUUUAAGUCAGCGGUGAAAGUGUGUGGCUCAACCAUAAAAUUGCAGUUGAAACUGGAAGACUUGAGUGUGUUUGAGGUAGGCGGAAUGCGUGGUGUAGCGGUGAAAUGCAUAGAUAUCACGCAGAACUCCGAUUGCGAAGGCAGCUUACUAAGCCAUAACUGACACUGAAGCACGAAAGCGUGGGGAUCAAACAGGAUUAGAUACCCUAGUAGUC
rnacentral:rRNA from 1 species